CAGCGCCACGAGUGGCAAUCGUGUAUUUGGCCUAAAGCGUCCGUAGCCGGAUUUGUAAAUCUUUUGUGAAAUCGUUGAGCUCAACUUAACGGCGUGCAGAAGACACUGCGAGUCUUGAGACCGGGAGGAGAUAGAGGUAUUCUAGGGGGAGCGGUAAAAUGCUAUAAUCCCUGGAGGACCACCAGUGGCGAAGGCGUCUAUCCAGAACGGAUCUGACGGUGAGGGACGAAAGCCAGGGGAGCGAACCGGAUUAGAGACCCGAGUAGUCC
rnacentral:rRNA from 1 species